rnacentral:sRNA from 1 species
AUCAUUUCGGUGAAAUCUAAGUGUUGAGUUCGCUCUUCACAAGACUAGAUUUCAUCCCUCAAGAAUUUUUCCAAGUUUCACCUCUUGGAAAAUAUAUUCAUUUCGGUGAAAUCUAAGUGUUGCGUUCGCUCUUCACAAGACUAGAUUUCAUCCCUCAAAGAUUUUUCCAAGUUUCACCUCUUUAAAAAAUAUAUUCAUUUCAGCGAAAUCUAAGUGUUGAGUUCGCUCUUCAGAAAACUAGAUUUCAUCCCUCAAGGAUAUUUUCAAGUUCCACCUCUCGAAAAAAUAA